rnacentral:rRNA from 1 species
UAACUAGUCCGUAUUACCCCGGUAGUACGCCGACUUCUUAGAGGGACUAUCGGCUCAAGCCGAUGGAAGUUUGAGGCAAUAACAGGUCUGUGAUGCCCUUAGAUGUUCUG